UACGUAGGGUGCAAGCGUUGUCCGGAAUUAUUGGGCGUAAAGAGCUCGUAGGCGGUCUGUCGCGUCGGCUGUGAAAACCCGAGGCUCAACCUCGGGCCUGCAGUCGAUACGGGCAGACUAGAGUGCUGUAGGGGAGACUGGAAUUCCUGGUGUAGCGGUGAAAUGCGUAGAGAUCAGGAGGAACACCGGUGGCGAAGGCGGCCUACUGGGCCAGCACUGACGCUGAGGCGCGAAAGCUCGGGGAGCGAACGGG
rnacentral:rRNA from 1 species